rnacentral:sRNA from 1 species
UUUCUGCUACAAUCUUUAGU